rnacentral:rRNA from 1 species
UACGUAGGGUGCAAGCGUUAAUCGGAAUUACUGGGCGUAAAGCGUGCGCAGGCGGUUAUGCAAGACAGAUGUGAAAUCCCCGGGCUUAACCUGGGAAUUGCAUUUGUGACUGCACGGCUAGAGUGUGUCAGAGGGGGGUAGAAUUCCACGUGUAGCAGUGAAAUGCGUAGAUAUGUGGAGGAAUACCGAUGGCGAAGGCAGCCCCCUGGGAUAACACUGACGCUCAUGCACGAAAGCGUGGGGAGCAAACAGG